ACAUAGAAAAGACAGUCUGCA
rnacentral:miRNA from 1 species